GUCUAAGGCCAUACCACCCUGAACACCUACGAUCUCGUCUGAUUUCCGAAGCUAAGCAGGGUCGGACCCGGUUAGAACUUCGAUGGGAGACCAAAGGCGAAGGCGCUGGGCUUUGCUCC
rnacentral:rRNA from 1 species